rnacentral:rRNA from 1 species
GACGAACGCUGGCGGCGUGCUUAACACAUGCAAGUCGAGCGGUAAGGCCCUUUCGGGGGUACACGAGCGGCGAACGGGUGAGUAACACGUGGGUGACCUGCCCUCCAGCUCUGGGAUAAGCCUGGGAAACUGGGUCUAAUACUGGAUAUGACUCCACGGUGCAUGUCGUGGGGUGGAAAGCCUUGUGCGGCUGAGGAUGGGCCCGCGGCCUAUCAGCUUGUUGGUGGGGUGANGGCCUACCAAGGCGACGACGGGUAGCCGG